rnacentral:rRNA from 1 species
GCCUGCCAGUGACCAUGUGUUCAACGGCCGCGGUAUUCUGACCGCGCGAAGGUAGCGUAAUCACUUGUUUUUUAAAUAAAGACUAGUAUGAACGGCCGCACGAGGACCUAACUGUCUCCUUUGUCCAAUCAGUGAAACUGAUCUCCUCGUGCAGAAGCGAGGAUCUUAUCAUAAGACGAGAAGACCCUAUGGAGCUUUAAACUUUUAUUAAUUAUUUUCUUCACCCCUCUAAGGAGCCAACAACUAAUUUAAUUUUUUUAUAAAAGUUUUGGGUUGGGGCGACCAUGGAGGAAAAAAAAUCCUCCCUGAUGACACCUAACUAAGAGCCACAGCUCCAAAUAUUAAGACACUUAACUCCUAUUGACCCAUUUUAUGAUCAACGAACCAAGUUACCCUAGGGAUAACAGCGCAAUCCAUUUCAAGAGUCCUUAUCGACAAAUGGGUUUACGACCUCGAUGUUGGAUCAGGGCAUCCAAGUGGUGCAACCGCUACUAAAGGUUCGUUUGUUCAACGAUUAAAGCCCUACGUGAUCU